GGAAGGUCGUCGUGUCCGGUGAUGCGGCAGGACUUCAAAUCCUGUUAGGGCUGCCAGCAGUCCUGGGUGGGUUCGACUCCCAUGACCUUCC
rnacentral:tRNA from 19 species